AAAUUGAAGAGUUUGAUCAUGGCUCAGAUUGAACGCUGGCGGCAGGCCUAACACAUGCAAGUCGAGCGGAAACGACAUUAUUGAAUCUUCGGAGGAUUUAAUGGGCGUCGAGCGGCGGACGGGUGAGUAAUGCCUAGGAAAUUGCCUUGAUGUGGGGGAUAACCAUUGGAAACGAUGGCUAAUACCGCAUAAUGCCUACGGGCCAAAGAGGGGGACCUUCGGGCCUCUCGCGUCAAGA
rnacentral:rRNA from 1 species